rnacentral:rRNA from 1 species
UACGGGGGGGAGCAAGCGUUGUUCGGAUUUACUGGGCGUAAAGCGCACGUAGGCGGCCUGAUAAGUCGGGUGUGAAAGCCCUGGGCUCAACCCAGGAAGUGCACUCGAAACUGUCAGGCUUGAAUAUGGAAGAGGGUCGCGGAAUUCCCGGUGUAGAGGUGAAAUUCGUAGAUAUCGGGAGGAACACCAGUGGCGAAGGCGGCGACCUGGGCCAAUAUUGACGCUGAGGUGCGAAAGCGUGGGGAGCAAACAGG